rnacentral:piRNA from 1 species
UCAAGGUUGAACGUAUCUCAAAGGUCGAAU